UCUAAAUUGUGGUUUCAGGUAGUGGGACUGUAGAGUCCCGCUAAGGGGCGCCAGAGGCGUCAGGAUCGCUGGUGAAUCACAGUACGCCGCUGCUCGACCAGCUUCUACUUCAGACACUUAAACUUCCAAGACAGCUUCCUUUUACGCUCCCUGUGACCUGGAUCUUUCGUAAGGAAAGGAAGGCCCAUGUCAUGUCACUGAUGCUCCUUCUACAGUGUUGAUCACCAGGCUCAAGACAUGCCUUCCCCAGGCUGAAACUCAUCUAUGAUGACUUUGCAAACUUGUGUUCUUUAAUUCCUGGAACCUACUCAUGCGGCAGAUGGACCUCCAGAACAAUGAGAUCCCUGCGGCCAGGGCUCUUACUUUAGGCAUGCAGGGUGCCUUGUAUGAAAUGCUGGUGACCUGUCUCAACAAAACCAGGCAGGAUGUUUCAAUCAACACCCUACUGCAGAGAAUCCAGGACUGCCUGGUAGGCCCCAGAAAGAAGGCGGGACAGGCUCUGCUGUGUCCUGAGUGGAAAGACUCUUUUUAAGAAUCUGAGCUUCCCUUUUUGGCUUUUCUACUUGAAGGGGAAGUGUAAGUGGACACCAGCCUGGAAGAAAGAGCAGAUACUUGAUGAAUACUUGAAGAAAUUCUAAUUCAAAAGCAUACAGCUCUUCACAAGAGACUCUUUUUAAAAUGUUUAUUUAUUUUUGAGACAGAGAGAGAGAAAGCAGGCUAGUGCAUGUGCACCAGCAGGAGAAGAGCAGAGAGA